rnacentral:rRNA from 1 species
AUUGAACGCUGGCGGCAGGCCUAACACAUGCAAGUCGAACGAGUGGCGGACGGGUGAGUAAUGUCUGGGAAACUGCCCGCUGGAGGGGGAUAACUACUGGGAACGGUUGCUAAUACCGCAUACCAUCGGAUGUGCCCAGAUGGGAUUAUCUAGGAGGUGGGGUAACGGCACACCUAGGCGACGAUCCCUAGCUGGUCUGAGAGGAUGACCAGACACACUGGAACUGAGACACGGUCCAGACUCCGACGGUAGGAAGCAGUGGGGAAUAUUGGACAAUGGGCGCAAGCCUGAUGCAGCCAUGCCGCGUGUAUGAAGAAGGCCUUCGGGUUGUAAAGUACUUUCAGCGAGGAGGCGUUACUCGCAGAAGAAGCACCGGCUAACUCCGUGCCAGCAGCCGCGGUAAUUC